UCUCCUGUGGAUCAUGUCGGGGCACACCAGUCAGAUGACCGCAUGGCUGUCUCUGGAUAAUGUGCUUGAAUGGAAAGCCAGAGUGCUUAAAAACCCGCUCUACCUUUAUUCUCGGAGUGGCCCAUUCUAUCUUGGGGUUGACACAUUUUUCCUGAUCAGUGGCUGGUUAAGCGUGAGGUCAUUUUUAAGGAUGCA